CCCCACCCCCCAACGCUGGCCAGCAGCUAAUCAGACAGACAGGCAGCUUCCUUACACUACUCCUCGGCACAGUCUCUGCACCACCUUCAAAUACUGACCUGCUCCGAGACUAACAGGCAGUUUCGUCCGUCCGUCAGUCGUUCAGACCACGCUGCGGGGGGAGGAGGAAGCGUGAACAUGCUGGAAAACGGCAGGAAGGUGUUCAAGGAAGGGCUGCUGGAAAAGCGAAGCGACGGGCUGCUGCAGCUGUGGAAGAAGAAGCACUGCGUCCUGACUGAGGAUGGCGUGCUGCUGCUGCCGCCCAAGCAGCACGACCACGCGCAGCACCACCAGCCGCACCAUGGCGUCGGCAACGCGGGCAAAGUCAAGGAGCUGCACUUCGCCAACAUGAAGACGGUGGACUGCGUGGAGCGCAAGGGCAAGUACGUCUACUUCACCGUGGUGAUGACCGAAGGCAAAGAGAUCGACUUUAGGUGCCCACAGGACGAGGGCUGGAACGCGGAGAUCACCCUGCAGAUGGUCCAGUACAAGAACCGGCAGGCGAUCCUGGCCGUGAAGUCCACCCGGCAGAAGCAGCAGCUACUCGUCGUACAGAUGCCCGGGCAGAAGACGAUUCGCAGCUCGCCGAAUGUUGCGUGACCUGCGGCGCGACAUUGGUGCACCGUUAGCGGUAAGGCAGGUAAAGGAAAAAGCGAGAAGGAAGAGGGGGGGUCUCCCUGAUAGGUCCGGUGACCCCUCCCCAACGAUUAAUGGAGCUGUUUUUGCAUUCUUUUAAUUCCCCUGGAUUUGUAUACCGUGCCAUCAGUGAGGACGUCUGCAGUGCAGUCCUUCGCAGAUCAAUAAGGGGACAGGGAAUCACACAAUGUGGAUUUAUGAUGACGCAAAGAAAAGUUGUGGAGCCCCAGCUGUAGGCCUGCUUACACGUCCCCGUCACGGAGGUGAAAGCUUCCGCAGGAAAAUGUGCUGGAUGUUAGGUUAACUGGACAUUCAGCCAGAGGUAUUGAGCAUCUCCCCUCUGCUAUGGCUUCACCACCCAAGCUCUGGGCCCCAGGAGUUCUUCCACAGCCCCAGAAGAACUGGACCCGUUUCAAUACAGAGACUUGUUUCAUAAGAGGCUCAUGCACAGAAAGCACUGCACCACGGGGUUCGUCUUUUAUUUAUUAGGCGUGUACAUAUAUUUUCUACGACAAUGUCCUGUUAAUGAAUGUUCAGUGUGCUACAGGAGCCGACGUGUUACCCAUUAAGUCCAGUAACGAUAAUAAUAACUCACGUGGUUGGUUGUUGUAGGUUACUUUAACAGUUUGUUAUUGGUUAAAUAUGUCACUGUUGAUGCUUUUCAUCUAAUCAACGGAACCAAAGAACCAAUCUCUCCUGGACAGUGUUACACCUCAGGAUUCUGUCUGUGGUGGAUAUUGUAUAUGAUGACAUAAUACGUGCUCCAUCUUGUCUGCUUAAUUUAAGUUUUGCUGUCUUGUAAGUCUUAAAGUCGAAAACAACUCCACAGGUUGUUAUUACCCAUUUUUUUUAGAAGUGGAGCUGCUUUAAAAACAGAGAUUAUAAUAAGAUGAUGAUGAAGACAUAAUGUUUCAAUUUCUGAUAGACGUUUGGAACAAACCAAUAUUAUUUGCAGUCUCUGCCUUACAAUCAUGCACCCCUGUUUGACUGUUUGUUUGUUCUGUGUUGGGCCUGUAAACCUGGAGAAAAAGCAGACUGUUUGAACCCACUGACCUUUAGCUGCAACCAGUCACAUCAUUCCUGUCUAUUUAUCUCUCUGCUUAAAGAAACCUUUUGUGACACUUGCUCUAAUGUUUGUCAGAAAUGAAUUUCAUCACAAAAGGAACUGACUGAAUAAUAAGCUAAAGCUGGUGACACACACACACAUGCACACUAAAAUGUUUUGAUAAAACUGCAUUUCACCGAUACUUGUGUUAUUUCCUGUUCUCCGUACGAGCUUUUCCCACCCCCCACCACCACCCCUCCCCUUGUGUGUAUCGCCCAACCAACACAUGCCUUUGUGUUGCUGUCAUCUCCCCCAGACAGCUCUACUGUAAAUGCACCCUCCUGUUGCCAUCCUAACACACACAGUUAUAGCUUUGGCCCUUUGUCGUCAGUCCAAUUUCUUAUUUCAACGUGAGAUCUAUUUUCAUACCUCAAAAAGAUACAUUCCAUUAAAAACACUUAAACAAA